UUCCUACGGGACGCAGCAGUGGGGAAUAUUGCACAAUGGGGGAAACCCUGAUGCAGCGACGCCGCGUGGAGGAAGAAGGUCUUCGGAUUGUAAACUCCUGUCCUUGGGGACGAUAAUGACGGUACCCAAGGAGGAAGCACCGGCUAACUACGUGCCAGCAGCCGCGGUAAUACGUAGGUGGCAAGCGUUAUCCGGAUUUAUUGGGUGUAAAGGGCGUGUAGGCGGGAGCGCAAGUCAGAUGUGAAAACUCAGGGCUCAACCCUGAGCCUGCAUUUGAAACCGUGGUUCUUGAGUGCUGGAGAGGC
rnacentral:rRNA from 1 species